GUUCUCUUCGUCUAGUAGGUUAGGACGCAAGACUUUCACUCUUGAAACAUGGGUUCGAAUCCCAUAGAGAACACCA
rnacentral:tRNA from 1 species